CAGUAGCCGCGGGAAUACAGAGGGUGCGAGCGUUAAUCGGAUUUACUGGGCGUAAAGCGUGCGUAGGCGGCUAAUUGAGUCGGAUGUGAAAUCCCCGAGCUUAACUUGGGAAUUGCAUUCGAUACUGGUUAGCUAGAGUGUGGGAGAGGAUGGUAGAAUUCCAGGUGUAGCGGUGAAAUGCGUAGAGAUCUGGAGGAAUACCGAUGGCGAAGGCAGCCAUCUGGCCUAACACUGACGCUGAGGUACGAAAGCAUGGGGAGCAAACAGGAUUAGAUACCCGGGUAGUCCCUGUCUCUUAUAA
rnacentral:rRNA from 1 species